GAUGAACGCUAGCUACAGGCUUAACACAUGCAAGUCGAGGGGUAACGAGAGGGAAGCUUGCUUUCCUUGUCGACGACCGGCGCACGGGUGAGUAACGCGUAUCCAACCUGCCCCCAACUAGGGAAUAACCUUGCGAAAGUACGACUGAUACCCUAUAAUUUCCCCAGAUGUCAUCUGACGAGGACUAACGAUUUAUCGGUUGCGGCUGGGGAUGCGUCUGAUUAGCUUGUUGGCGGGGUAACGGCCCACCAAGGCAACGAUCAGUAGGGGUUCUGAGAGGAAGGUCCCCCACAUUGGAACUGAGACAUGGUCCAAACUCCUACGGGAGGCAGCAGUGAGGAAUAUUGGUCAAUGGGCGGAAGCCUGAACCAGCCAAGUAGCGUGCAGGAUGACGGCCCUAUGGGUUGUAAACUGCUUUUAUACAGGAAUAAAGUUAGCCACGUGUGGUUAUUUGUAGGUACUGUAUGAAUAAGGACCGGCUAAUUCCGUGCCAGCAGCCGCCGUAACAC
rnacentral:rRNA from 1 species